AGCUGACCGCUAUAUUCUCAGUAUUUUUGUAUGUUCUAGAUAGAAUUCUAUAUGGUUCGAAGUGUAAUUCUUUUGGUUCAGUUUCUCAAGCUUCAUUUCUCCCUGUACUUUCUCAACAAAGUAAUUGCCUCGAACCUCUUCUAACACACAUAGAAAACAUGAUUUUAUAGGCACUGUCCAUUGCUAGCUAAAAGCCAGGGUAUGAAGGAGUGGUGCUUAGUGGGAUUUUUGAAAGGUAACUGACACCAAAUUGCCAUGGAAAUGGAUAUGAUUUAGACAAUUGAAUAAUAUCUUCCAGUAUCUAUCUCCCUUUGCAGUGAGCUCAAUGCUUCUUAAAAACCUGGCCCAUCACCUCUGUGCAGUGCCAUCAUACUUUUCCAUAAGGGUAUUUCCCUUCCUGGCACAAAGGAGGUUGCUGGCCUCAUCAGAAGAGCAAUGCAGUAAGAGGGAGCUGACUGCAACAUCUGCACUGGAUUGUGUUAUUUCCAAGCUUCUAGUUUGGAGACAUCGGUAGGAUGAAAGGCAUUGAAACCUCUCCCUAGCACCUACUCCCUGAUUGCAGUGAUAAGGUUUCUGGUUGCAAGGGAAGCAAGAUGGUUUGUUGAGGGGAAAUUGCAGAGGUUAAUGCCUCCCACUCCCCUGUUCUCUGCAAGUUUGGGAUUCUAUGACUUCAUACAAUAGGAAGAUGAUCCCAUUCCGUCCAAGAUAAGCCAUCAUGGUGGGCAGCACAUGGGAGUAGGAGGUAAAGGUGAAGGUGCAGUUUUGGCUGGUGACCUUUGGCAAGUCUCUCUAGGAGACCUCCCACUGCAGCAGGCAAAGGCUGGAAAGAACCCAUCAGACCCUUGCCUGUGUUUCCACUCCUGCUGGAAUGCGAAUUCCUUUUGCACUGACCCAGGACAAACACACCUGUGUUCUCUUCUUGCCUUAGCAUUCUAUUUUGCACCAGUGAAUAAUAGCAAAACAGAAGAGCAAGCUUUGUGGUUCAGGAAGCUGACAGUUAUUAAAAGUAAAUUUCACAAGGAGGCAAGAGGGAGGAAGGGGAAUUCUGAUGAAUCCCUGAUAUGUAUGGAAUGUUGUUUUUAUACGGGAAUAAAGCAGACUUCAGAGUUUCUUCAAUUACAUUUUAGGAGUUUUAUUAUUUGAAAAUAAUUGCCUGUAGUUGCUUUAUUUCUCCUGAGCCAGGGCAGUUCUGAUUGACGUGACUGGAACAAACAGGGUUGUGUAAGUCUGCAGAGGUUUCCUGGUACGCUGGCCAGCUACAGGCUUUGUACUGAUGCUUAUCGUAACCGUGCAGUUCUCACCUGACAUCUGUGUCACAGUCACACACCGUGUGUCUGCAGUGAUGCUAACAUAAGUCAUUCCCACAGAGUGUUCUCCAGCACGGCCCUGGAAGGAUGCCUGCAGCCACCGGCAGCUUCUUCUAGCCCACAGAUGCAACAACAAGAGAAAGAUCACCUCUGAGUUAGCAAGAAGCACCAGAAAGGCCCGCUCAGGGAAGGGGAUGGGUGGACAGACUGUCUACUUAAAGAGCCAUCUGCAAAGAUGGUGCAGAACAGAAGCAGAACAGGAUCAAAGGCUGUGUAUUAUUUCACUGUGUAAGUCUGCAAUGGAGACACAAAGGGAAGUGAUUUCUCCUCUUCAGUCUAUCAUGUCAUUUUAUGUCAAGGAUAGUAAAUGAAGGCUCUUCCUUGUUGCUGAGCAAAAAGAUUUAACAGGAAACCUUUGAGCUGAGGACAAGGCAGAGCUGGCAUUGGGAUUGCCCAUUCUGGGACGUGCUCUUGCACUGUCAAUAUCCAGGAGGAGCUUGGAUCUUGAAUCCAGUCUUGUUUUGGGCCAGUUAAUGCAGCUGAGUCAGAUAAGCUUGGACAGUCAGGGAAACAUGGAUGUUAUAAUUGUCUUCUUGAGGCUUUCCAGUGACUCCCUCGGUUUGCAUUAUCUGUAUUAUGCUGGCUGGGGUCUGAGUCAGGGAAACAUUUGACCCUGAGCUUUGUUCACUCCUACUCGGACAUUUCAGAGCUUUGCACUUAAGCAUUUUCCUGGAGCGUGGUGGUUUUCUGAGGUAAUGUCUGGAGCCAUCCCACUGCAGUUAAUGGAGAAAGAUCCUGUUGACUCUUGGAGGCUUGGAUUCCGCUUUCUCUUGAGUAAUGUUGACAAUGCUGAGAAAAAAUCUGGGAUUCUCUCACAGGCACCACUCACAGUAUGUAGUCCUUGAAGGGGACAGGGUGACCACCUCACCCAUCUUCACUUGCACUCUCCUGGAGAUGCACAGAUUGAUAUGGUUUGAAUGUUUCAGGGGACCAAUAGUGAAGAAUCAGUGACAGUUCAGACAGUUGUGGAGGAGGUAGAAGGUUCUUUAUCUCUGCUCUCUAGCCUUGGGCAGCAUGGUCUAAUGUUAGGUGUGAGGGCUGUGGCAGGGGGUUGGAACUGGAUGAUCUUAAGGUCCUUUCCAACCCAAACCAUUCUAUGAUUCUAUAUUGCUUCUCAAACCAAGAAACCACAGCCAGGACCAGCCGUGGUAACAGUGGAUGUACAGUGACCUACUUUUAACACAGCUUAUGUAGCCUGUCGUGCUGCUUUAUGCUUGAAUGGCAGAAUUUGCAACAAAAGGUCAAUUUAUGGCAGCCUUUUAUUGCAAGGUUCUUUUGCUCUAGUCCUAAGUUAUAAUGACAAAAUGCUGUGCUGAGUACAAUGGGAACUGCAAAAAUCAGCCCCACUUUUUAUGUAAAGCUUUAAACUUUAUCUAUUUUAAACAGCUUUGGUGCUAAGCUAAUUUUUUUUUGUUUGGUUGCUUAUGAAAAGAGCUUUAUUACUUGCAUGGAGAGAAAUACAGGAACAUUUGUGAGUAUGAACAGAAAGGCUCAGCAAUGGGGGCUUUAAGUAAAGCCAUACAAAACACUUCUGAAGCUCAGCAAACCUGCAUGGAGAGAGGAGAGUCUAAACCACAGCAGCCCAGAAAAGGGAAAACUGCAUAGGGAGAAACAAAUGGGAGCUUCCCCCUGCUAAGGGAAGGCACAAAGUAAAUCUGCUGUGACCCAACCACACAGGGUCACAAACUAGCCGAGAUAAAUGCAGGAAGAAGGACACUGUGACAAUAGUUAGCCCAGAGGGCUGAGACACAUGGCUGAGUCCCUACAUGUCAGCUGUGCUGCAAUAGCUGACUGAUUCAUGCACUUUGCCUAGGGCAGCCAUGAGGUAAAACACAUUAUGUUAAGCCUCAGUGGAAGAGGGUUAGAUGAAUGUGCUUCCCUUGCAGAGGGGUGAGAGCACAUACGUGAUCAGUUACCACAGCGCAGAUAACGUGUGAGCAUCCUCCAGCUCUCUGAGCACCCACUGGGCUCCCUUUCUGAAAAGACCAGACCCCUUUCUAACAAGCCUGUUGCAAAUAGGAGCUGUGGAGUGUGUUAGCAUAAACCCUUUUUGCUGCCAGCUCAGGGUAAGCAUAUGAUGAAGCAGAAGGUCCCAAUGCCUUGUGGUGCCUCCUUAGGCUUUAGUAACUCCCUUGCGUAUCUAAAUGUUCAGCAGGGCCCUGCCAUUGACAAAUGUUGCACAUGGGGAGAUGCUUUAAGCCUGUACAGAGCCUUGUUGAGCUGAAAGGGUGGCUUGUCAUAAAACCUGGGUGAUGGCAGCCUGUGUCAAGCUAUCCUAGUAGGGUGCCAAGGACUGUGCCCCCAGUACAGGCAGGGCCUUGUUUUCCUCUCCACUCAGCUUUCUUCCAGAUAGCACAAGCAGCCUUGCCAAGGUUGCUCUACAGCUUCUACUGCUGCCAAUAAUCUGGGUAAUCUCUUAUCUCGCCUUAUUUCACAUGUUUAUAGCCAUGACAGCCAAACCCUAGACAAUGUGUAAUGGGUGAGUUAUGUUAGAGGUUGUCGAGCCAAUAACGAUGUGGAGGAAGGGCAUUGCUAGCUGUGUACUAGAGCUCAGAGCACCAGGGGUGGAAAUCUGUAAUGGCAAAUGAUUUGAGAAAUGUUCUGUCCCAGCUUCAGUCUACUCAUUCACUGCACUGCCUGCUCUUUGGGACUGAUGGAGGGUUUUGCCUAGAGGCAGUUGAAUGUUACUGGUUAUGAGACACUCAGCUACAACGUCAAGUGAAAGGCUUGUUAGUCAUCUUCACUUCUAUCCCGUGUAUCAUCACAGCUAAUAAACAUCCUGCAGCUGGCUUCCAGGGCGCUGGGAAGUUGGACACUCUUCACUCUCUAUCUCUGUGUGCUCCCAGUGCUAUGUCUGGGUUCGCACUGGCUGGGACUCUGGCCAAAGUGAAUCUCCAACAGCAGUUGGAAAAGAUAGAAAGAAAUUGUAUCUUUCUUAGCUGGAUUGACUUGUGAGUUCUGGCAGGGCUAAGGAGCUCUUCAGACAGAAUUGAAGCUGAUAUGCAUAUUCAGAUACUCCACACAGAGCAUCAUCUCUCACAUGCAAGCAUGUACAGUCCCUUUCUCAGUCUUAAUCACUGGGUACAUCUAAAGAUAAAGGUGAUUAAAAACAUUCAUCAGUCGGGACCUGACAUCACUGUUUGCAUCAAGGAAGUAGGUCUGCACUUCUGUAACAUCAUGGGAUCUCACCACAAGCAUCACAGUAGAACUGGCAGCAUGGGUUGUCUUCUUUUAUAACACAUAGGGGGGCAAAGCUUCUUUUAAAGACCUGAUCUUAACUUGGGCUGCACAUCUCAUGAGUCCUUUCCUGAGAAGCGCUCAGUACAUUUGUGAAUCAGAUGGUUGAAACAAUGAUGAACUGUGAAGACAAGUGCCUCAAUGUAUGAGCUUUCUCAGAGGAAGUCCUAACCACAUCCUGAGUUAGGAUGCCAUGUUUGCUAUCAUCUUAUCAAACAGCACUUGCUGUUACCAGCCUGUAUCGGUGGCAGCAAGGCAUGAGUGUUGAAGUAGAGAGAGAUAAUGGAAAGGGAAAAUUCUCUCAGCAGUCAGCUGGGAAGACAUGUGAUGCCCUCCCCCCCACCUUGGGUGUCCUCUCCAGUGUAGCAGGGUCUCCCUGUUAUAAUGCUCCAUAUUAACUGCACAGUUUUCAUUAGGAAUUGUUUGGAGGGAAUUUCUGCUUUAUUCCUGCUCUCAGCACCAUUGGGAGCACAA